rnacentral:rRNA from 1 species
UACAGAGGGGGCAAGCGUUAUUCGGAAUUCUUGGGCGUAAAGGGCGCGUAGGCGGCUUUGCAAGUGACGGGUGAAAUCCCUCGGCUUAACCGAGGAACUGCCUGUCAAACUGCAUGGCUUGAGACCGGGAGAGGUGAGUGGAAUUCCCAGUGUAGCGGUGAAAUGCGUAGAUAUUGGGAGGAACACCAGUGGCGAAGGCGGCUCACUGGACCGGUACUGACGCUGAUGCGCGAAAGCCAGGGGAGCAAACGGG